rnacentral:misc_RNA from 1 species
GAUGAAGAACGUAUCGAAAUGCGAUAAGUAAUGUGAAUUGCAGAAUUCAGUGAAUCAUCGAAUCUUUGAACGCACAUUGCGCCCCCUGGUAUUCCGGGGGGCAUGCCUGUUCGAGCGUCAUUUCACCACUCAAGCCUCGCUUGGUAUUGGGCAACGCGGUCCGCCGCGUGCCUCAAAUCGACCGGCUGGGUCUUCUGUCCCCUAAGCGUUGUGGAAACUAUUCGCUAAAGGGUGUUCGGGAGGCUACGCCGUAAAACAACCCCAUUUCUAAGGUUGACCUCGGAUCAGGUAGGGAUACCCGCUGAACUUAAGCAUAUCAAUAAGCGGAGGA